rnacentral:rRNA from 1 species
GACAGAGGGUGCAAACGUUGCUCGGAAUUACUGGGCGUAAAGCGCGUGUAGGCGGUCACGCGAGUCGGGUGUGAAAGCCCAGGGCUCAACCCUGGAAGGGCACUCGAUACUACGUGGCUUGAGUCCUGUAGAGGAGGGCGGAAUUCCCGGUGUAGAGGUGAAAUUCGUAGAUAUCGGGAGGAACAUCUGUGGCGAAGGCGACACCCUGGACCAGCACUGACACUGAGGCACGAAAGCGUGGGGAGCAAACAGG